GCCUGGCUAGCUCAGUAGGUAGAGCAUGAGACUCUUAAUUUCAGGAUCAUGGGGUUGAGCCCCACGUUGGGCA
rnacentral:tRNA from 1 species